GUGCUUUGUCAGUACAUAUACCAAAACUGGAACAAUAUAGAGAAGAUUGCUAUCGGCCCUGCACAAGGAUGGCAUGCAAAUUUGUGAAGCAUUCCAUAUUUUU
rnacentral:snRNA from 1 species